UAAAUUUUGGAUUCAAGAGGAGAAAUGUGAAAAACGGGAACUGGUUGAUGGAUAUGGAUGAAACUUUGCAUCAGUGUUGUGUUUAUGCAUAGAAAUCAGGAAAAUAGAGGAUAACUGACAGACUAUGCAGUUACCAAAGCCGGGGUUUGAGUACAGGACCUUACCUUAUACUGGUUAAGAUCUAUGGAAGAACUCCUUCAGCUCAGUUUGGCAGCAGAUUUGUCAGGACACAUUGCGAAGAGAAAUGUGAAAAAUGGGAACUGGUUGAUGGAUAUGGAUGAAACUUUGCAUCAGUGUUGUGUUUAUGCAUAGAAAUCAGGAAAAUAGAGGAUAACUGACAGACCAUGCACGGUUACCAAAGCCGGGGUUUGAGUACAAGACCUUACCUUAUACUGGUUAAGAUCUAUGGAAGAACUCCUUCAGCUCAGUUUGGCAGCAGAUUUGUCAGGACACAUUGCGAAGAGAAAUGUGAAAAAUGGGAACUGGUUGAUGGAUAUGGAUGAAACUUUGCAUCAGUGUUGUGUUUAUGCAUAGAAAUCAGGAAAAUAGAGGAUAACUGACAGGUUUGAAAAUUUUUAAUUUUAAUUCAAAUUUUGACAUUUUAAAUUGGGACAGAUGUUGUUAUUGUUAUCUCCCCUUCAAAUGUAGAUGUCUGCUACUGUGUCAGUAAGUACAGAAGAAGGGUACAGAGCUUUUGCAUAAAGGAUUAACCACAUUUUAUUGAAUU